rnacentral:rRNA from 1 species
GGUUUGAUUCUGGCUCAGGAUGAACGCUAGCUACAGGCUUAACACAUGCAAGUCGAGGGGCAGCAUUUUAGUUUGCUUGCAAACUAAAGAUGGCGACCGGCGCACGGGUGAGUAACACGUAUCCAACCUGCCGAUAACUCGGGGAUAGCCUUUCGAAAGAAAGAUUAAUAUCCGAUAGUAUAUUAAAACCGCAUGGUUUUACUAUUAAAGAAUUUCGGUUAUCGAUGGGGAUGCGUUCCAUUAGUUUGUUGGCGGGGUAACGGCCCACCAAGACUACGAUGGAUAGGGGUUCUGAGAGGAAGGUCCCCCACAUUGGAACUGAGACACGGUCCAAACUCCUACGGGAGGCAGCAGUGAGGAAUAUUGGUCAAUGGACGAGAGUCUGAACCAGCCAAGUAGCGUGAAGGAUGACUGCCCUAUGGGUUGUAAACUUCUUUUAUAUGGGAAUAAAGUAUUCCACGUGUGGGAUUUUGUAUGUACCAUAUGAAUAAGGAUCGGCUAACUCCGUGCCAGCAGCCGCGGUAAUACGGAGGAUCCGAGCGUUAUCCGGAUUUAUUGGGUUUAAAGGGAGCGUAGGUGGAUUGUUAAGUCAGUUGUGAAAGUUUGCGGCUCAACCGUAAAAUUGCAGUUGAAACUGGCAGUCUUGAGUACAGUAGAGGUGGGCGGAAUUCGUGGUGUAGCGGUGAAAUGCUUAGAUAUCACGAAGAACUCCGAUUGCGAAGGCAGCUCACUAGACUGCAACUGACACUGAUGCUCGAAAGUGUGGGUAUCAAACAGGAUUAGAUACCCUGGUAGUCCACACAGUAAACGAUGAAUACUCGCUGUUUGCGAUAUACAGUAAGCGGCCAAGCGAAAGCAUUAAGUAUUCCACCUGGGGAGUACGCCGGCAACGGUGAAACUCAAAGGAAUUGACGGGGGCCCGCACAAGCGGAGGAACAUGUGGUUUAAUUCGAUGAUACGCGAGGAACCUUACCCGGGCUUAAAUUGCAUUUGAAUAAUCUGGAAACAGGUUAGCCGCAAGGCAAAUGUGAAGGUGCUGCAUGGUUGUCGUCAGCUCGUGCCGUGAGGUGUCGGCUUAAGUGCCAUAACGAGCGCAACCCUUAUCUUUAGUUACUAACAGGUCAUGCUGAGGACUCUAGAGAGACUGCCGUCGUAAGAUGUGAGGAAGGUGGGGAUGACGUCAAAUCAGCACGGCCCUUACGUCCGGGGCUACACACGUGUUACAAUGGGGGGUACAGAAGGCAGCUACCUGGUGACAGGAUGCUAAUCCCAAAAACCUCUCUCAGUUCGGAUCGAAGUCUGCAACCCGACUUCGUGAAGCUGGAUUCGCUAGUAAUCGCGCAUCAGCCAUGGCGCGGUGAAUACGUUCCCGGGCCUUGUACACACCGCCCGUCAAGCCAUGAAAGCCGGGGGUACCUGAAGUACGUAACCGCAAGGAGCGUCCUAGGGUAAAACUGGUAAUUGGGGCUAANUNGNNNCNNNUAGCC